rnacentral:rRNA from 1 species
CCAGGUCCGGACACACUGAGGAUUGACAGGAAGUAUCGUCUUUUGAAUUCUUUAAGGAUAUGUCGUUUUUAAUGACAUCUUUUAGAUGGAUGAUUCGUGUAAAUAUGCUAGUUCUUUCAUGAUUAUGUGAUAGGUGGUGCAUGGCCGUUCUUAGUUCGUGGAGUGAUCUGUCUGCUUAAUUGCGUUUCACUAAGGCCCCAAAGUUAGCAAAUUAUCAAUCGUUACAGAGUCGACCCCUCACCUUUGAGUGCGCGUCCUAACUUGUAGUACAUGGUGUAAAUGGAUUUGUUUUGGGUACCCAGAAAGCAACGAACGUGACCGCAACGUCUUGUUGUCUCUCUUUGACAGUUAUGGGUUAUCCCAGUCAUGUGUUUAUACUUUUAUGUGUAAAUACGUACGACACAGAGACUAGAUACCAAACUAGGCGUACCGCUGUAUCAUUUCUUUAAACCAGAGGAAGGUUGCGGCAAUAACAG